ensembl:misc_RNA Metazoa_SRP Metazoan signal recognition particle RNA
GCCGGGUGUGGUGGCUCAUGCCUGUAAUCCUAGCACUUUGGGAGGCUGAGGUGGGCGGAUCACCUGAGGUCAGGAGUUUGAGACCAGCCUGACCAACAUGGAGAAACCCCAUCUCUA